rnacentral:rRNA from 1 species
CCUACGGGCGGCAGCAGUGGGGAAUAUUGGGCAAUGGGCGCAAGCCUGACCCAGCAACGCCGCGUGAAGGAAGAAGGCUUUCGGGUUGUAAACUUCUUUGAAGAGGGAAGAGUAGAAGAAGGUACCUCUUGAAUAAGCCACGGCUAACGACGUGCCAGCAGCCGCGGAAAAAAGCAGGGGGCAGGGGUGGUCCGGAUUUACUGGGAGUAAAGGGCGUGCAGCCGGGAAUAGAAAGCAGAUGUGAAAUCCCGCGGCUCAACCGCCGAACUGCAUUUGAAACUGUUUUUUUUGAGUACCGGAGAGGUCAUCGGAAUUCCUUGUGUAGCGGUGAAAUGCGUAGAUAUAAGGAAGAACACCAGUGGCGAAGGCGGAUGACUGGACGGCAACUGACGGUGAGGCGCGAAAGCGUGGGGAGCAAACAGGAUUAGAUACCCGUGUAGUC